GACGAACGCUGGCGGCGCGCUUAACACAUGCAAGUCGAACGAAGUGGCGAACGGGUGAGUAACGCGUAAUCAACCUGCCCUUCAGAGGGGGACAACAGUUGGAAACGACUGCUAAUACCGCAUACGGAAGGAGGGGAGAGCGUGUGAUUAGCUAGUUGGAGGGGUAACGGCCCACCAAGGCGAUGAUCAGUAGCCUGUCUGAGAGGAGGAACGGCCACCAUGAGAGUGAGACACGACCCAGACUCCGACGGGAGGCAGCAGUGGGGAAUCUUCCGCAAUGGACGAAAGUCUGACGGAGCAACGCCGCGUGAGUAAUGACGGCCGUCGGGUUGUAAAGCUCUGUUAAUCGUGGCGCGGUACCGGAAUAGGAAGCCACGGCUAACUACGUGCCAGCAGCCGCGGUAAUUC
rnacentral:rRNA from 1 species